CCCUUAGAUGUUCUGGGCCGCACGCGCGCUACACUGAUGCAUUCAACGAGUCUAAAACCUGCUCUGAUAGGGGUGGGUAAUCUUUUGAAUGUGCAUCGUGAUUGGGAUAGAUGAUUGCAAUUUUUCAUCUUCAACGAGGAAUGCCUAGUAAACGCAAGUCAUCAGCUUGCAUUGAUUACGUCCCUGUCCUUUGUACACACCGCCCGUCGCUCCUACCGAUUGAAUGAUCCGAUGAAUAUCAUGGAUUGAGGAUGCAAGUAGGUUCGCCUAUCUUCAUCUUCGAGAAGUGAAGUAAAUCUUAUCAUUUAGAGGAAGGAGAAGUCGUAACA
rnacentral:rRNA from 1 species